rnacentral:rRNA from 1 species
GCAGCAACGCCGCGUGGGGGAGGAAGGCCUUCGGGUCGUAAACCCCUUUUCGGGGGGAUGAGGAAGGACAGUACCCCCGGAAUAAGCCUCGGCUAACUACGUGCCAGCAGCCGCGGUAAAACGUAGGAGGCGAGCGUUAUCCGGAUUUACUGGGCGUAAAGCGCGUGCAGGCGGUCCGGUAAGUCGGACGUGAAAGCUCCUGGCUCAACUGGGAGAGGCCGUUCGAGACUGCCGGACUAGAGGGCGGUAGAGGGAGGUGGAAUUCCGGGUGUAGCGGUGAAAUGCGUAGAUAUCCGGAGGAACACCAGUGGCGAAGGCGGCCUCCUGGACCGUCCCUGACGCUCAGACGCGAAAGCUAGGGGAGCGAACGGGAUUAGAAACCCCGGUAGUCCUAGCCGUAAACGAUGCGGACUUGGUGUUGGGGGCUUCAACGCCCUCAGUGCCGAAGCUAACGCGUUAAGUCCGCCGCCUGGGGACUACGGCCGCAAGGCUAAAACUCAAAGGAAUUGACGGGUCCCCGCACAAGCGGCGGAGCAUGCGGCUUAAUUCGAUGCAACCCGAAGAACCUUACCUGGGCUUGACAUCACGGGAAAAGCCGUAGAAAUACGGUGUCCGUAAGGGCCCGUGACAGGUGGUGCAUGGCUGUCGUCAGCUCGUGUCGUGAGAUGUUGGGUUAAGUCCCGCAACGAGCGCAACCCCCGUCCUAUGUUGCCAGCGGUU